UACGUAGGGUGCAAGCGUUGUCCGGAAUUAUUGGGCGUAAAGAGCUCGUAGGCGGUCUGUCACGUCGGCUGUGAAAACUCGGGGCUCAACCCCGAGCCUGCAGUCGAUACGGGCAGACGUAGAGUCCGGCAGGGGAGACUGGAAUUCCUGGUGUAGCGGUGAAAUGCGCAGAUAUCAGGAGGAACACCGGUGGCGAAGGCGGGUCUCUGGGCCGGAACUGACGCUGAGGAGCGAAAGCGUGGGGAGCGAACAGG
rnacentral:rRNA from 1 species